rnacentral:rRNA from 1 species
UACAGAGUCCUCAAGCGUUGUUCGGAUUCAUUGGGCGUAAAGGGUGCGUAGGCGGCCAUUCAAGUCGGGGGUGAAAGCCUGUGGCUCAACCACAGAAUUGCCUUCGAUACUGUUUGGCUUGAGACCGGAAGAGGUCAGUGGAACUGCGAGUGUAGAGGUGAAAUUCGUAGAUAUUCGCAAGAACACCAGUGGCGAAGGCGGCUGACUGGUCCGGUUCUGACGCUGAGGCGCGAAAGCGUGGGGAGCAAACAGG